rnacentral:lncRNA from 1 species
AUAACUUCUUCAUACGAACUCCGUUUUCGACGUUCUUUAUAUCCACGCGAAGGUGAGACCACGCUCUACGACUUUCGUUUAGACUCCGUCGGCUAAUUUUGACUUUAUUUUUAUUAAUUAUUUUUAAUAGGCCGGGACAGAAACUUUCGUUAUAAAUUCAUAACUUCUUCGUUUGACGUCCGUUCUCGCCUAACUUUUUAUCGUUUCAAUACCAACAAUGAGAUCUUCGAUUCUCAUUUAGAUUGCUUCGGCUAACAACCGCUCGAUCUCAAAUCGAGUAAAACAGGCUGUAUAUCGCUAAGCCGGAACUUCGAUAAAUCAUAACUUCCUCAUACGAAGUCAGAUUUGGGCGUUCUAUAUAUAUUCGGAAACCUCGUUUCAACUACUACAACAUUAACCAAAGAUAUUAAGUUUAUUUUACACUUAAAUUUUGACGCUUAUUUUUAUUCUUAAUUAAUCAAACCACAUAAUUAAGCAAUUAAGCACAAAACACAUAAUACUCAAAUAAUACAAUCUUAUUAUUUCAAAACGGGUUACAAAGGUUAACCUAGACUAUUACAUUGCUAAAAAUGGCAAGCCCGGAAACACAGGCGUUACAAUUCUCUCCACCUUAGAAUGAUUCCGUCCCCGGAAUCACACAUCAACAAACAAAUGCGGAUAGCGACUCAACAUGUCACUCUCCGUCUCCCAGGUGAGAUUCGGCCCAUUCGUGUGUUUCCAUCGGACAAGCACUAACCCAACCAUUUUGCGUCGCAACUUCUUAGUCUUUCGGUCAACAAUUGCCUCUGGUUCUUCAAUCAACCUUUUGUUCUCAUCAAUUCUCAAUUCAGAAAUUGGAAUUAUAUCGGGAACUUCUCCCGUGAACUUCCUCAAAUAACACACAUGAAAGGUGUUGUGAAUUCCAUUCAGUUCUUCGGGUAAUUCGAGCUUGUAAGCUUGAUUCCCAAUCCUCUGAAGGACUUUAAACGGUCCAAUAAACCUUGGACUCAACUUUCCCCUUUUACCAAAUCUUAUAAGUCCCUUCCACGGCGAGACUUUAAGCAAAACCGAAUCUCCAACCUCAAAAGUCAUCGGUCUUCGCUUCUUGUCAGCAUAGCUCUUUUGACGAUCUUGAGCUGCUAACAUUCUUUCCCUAAUUAUUUUCAACUUUUCAGCAGUUUGAUGAACCAUCUCCGGUCCCAUAAACUGCUUUUCCCCAGCCUCAAGCCAACAAGACGGCGUACGACACUUCUGUCCAUACAAAGCUUGAUAAGGUGCCAUCUUAAUGCUCGAGUGAAAACUAUUAUUAUAGGAAAAUUCUACCAACGGUAAAUGUUCAUCCCAAUUACCUAGGAAUUCCAAGGUACAUGCUCUCAGCAUAUCUUCAAGUGUUUGUAUUGUUCUUUCACUCUGACCAUCAGUCUGCGGAUGGUAAGCUGUGCUUAAACAUAACUUGGUACCCAUUUCCUCUUGUAGACUUUUCCAAAACCUUGAGGUGAAACGGCUAUCACGAUCCGAUACAAUCGUUAACGGAACACCGUGAAGCCUCACAAUUUCCUUCACGUAAGAAUUCGCAAGCUUUUCCAUAGACCAUUUCUCCCUGGCCGCUAUGAAAUGCGCACUCUUAGUGAAUCGAUCAACGACCACCCAAAUCAUGUCGUGACCAUUCUUUGUUCUGGGCAGUUUAGUGACAAAAUCCAUAGCAAUGUCUUCCCACUUACCCAUAGGCACAGGCAAUGGUUCUAAACUCCCGUAAGGUUUCUGAUGUUGUGUCUUGACUCUCGCACAAGUCACACACUCGGCCACAUACUUUGCAACAUCAAGCUUCAUCGUCGGCCACCAGUAGUAGGGUUUCAGGUCCCUAUACAUUUUAGUGCUACCCGGAUGAAUUGAGUACAUGGUUUUGUGAGCUUCUUCCAUCAGAAGAUCCCUAAUUCCUCCUGACUUAGGUACCCAAAUACGAUCUUGGAAUACCUUCAGUCCAUGACCGUUAGUACCAAACACCAACGUUUUACCCAAACGUUCCUCCUUUCGGUCAUUUUUCUCAGAAGCUUCCUCUUGAGCUUUCUUUAUACUUUCCACAAUAGUCGAGACAACUUCAAUUCUCAACGCUCUUGGCCUCUUCCUUUCAAGAUUGACUUUCCGACUGAGAGCAUCAGCAACAACAUUAGCUUUACCGGGGUGGUAAAGUAUCUCGCAGUCGUAGUCUUUAAGUAAUUCUAGCCAGCGUCGUUGCCUCAUAUUCAAUUCUUUCUGAUUAAAGAGGUAUUGGAGACUCUUAUGAUCAGUGAAAAGUUUGCACUUCGUGCCAUAGAGGUAAUGCCUCCAUAUUUUCAGAGCGAAAACUACCGCUGCCAACUCCAAAUCAUGAGUCGGGUAAUUCUUUUCAUGCUCUUUCAGCUGUCGAGACGCAUAUGCUAUCACCUUUUCUCUUUGGGUCAAAACACAACCCAAUCCAACACCAGACGCAUCGCUAUAAACAGCGAAGUCUUCAACUCCAUCGGGUAGAGAAAGUAUCGGUGCCUCGCAUAGCUUCUUCUUUAACUUCUCGAAUGCUUCUUUAUGCUUCUCACUCCAAGCAUAAGUAGCUCCUUUGUGGGUCAAAGCUGUUAAUGGAGUAGCAAUCGAAGAAAAGCCUUGGAUAAACCUUCGGUAAUAUCCGGCUAAUCCUAAAAAGCUUCGAAUCUCCGUGGGACUUUUCGGUUGUUCCCACUUCGUCACAGCUUCGAUCUUCGCUGGAUCAACCAUUAUCCCUUCUUGGUUGACCACGUGACCCAAGAAUUGGACCUCACGAAUCCAAAAAUCACAUUUGGAGAACUUCGCAUAAAGCUUCUCCUUCUUCAAAACUUCUAACACUUCUCGCAAGUGUCUGCCAUGCUCCUCCUGGCUUUUCGAGUAGAUCAGAAUGUCGUCUAUGAACACUAUCACGGAUUUAUCAAGGAAAGGAUUACAAACCCUAUUCAUCAAAUCCAUGAACGCUGCUGGAGCAUUGGUUAGUCCAAACGACAUAACCAAGAACUCGUAGUGUCCAUAUCUAGUUCUGAAUGCAGUCUUCUCGAUAUCUUGCUCUCUUACUUUCAGCUGAUGAUAUCCUGACCUAAGAUCGAUCUUCGAGAAAUAGCUCGAACCUUGCAAUUGAUCAAACAGGUCAUCAAUCCUCGGCAACGGAUAUCUAUUCUUUAUUGUUGCCUUGUUCAGCUCUCUGUAAUCGAUGCACAUUCUCAUACUUCCAUCUUUCUUCUUUACAAAUAACACCGGAGCUCCCCAGGGCGAUGAACUAGGUCUAAUGAAACCUUUGUCCAAUAACUCCUGAAGUUGCAUCAUCAGCUCCUUCAUCUCCGUCGGUGCUAAUCGAUAAGGUGCUUUUGCUAUUGGCGUGGUUCCUGGUAACAAGUCUAUUCUGAACUCCACUUGUCUAUCAGGUGGUAAUCCAGGAAGAUCCUCGGGAAAUACUUCCGGAUAAUCACACACCACUGGAAUGCUCUGCAUCACCUUCUUUUCUUUCUUAGCAUCAAUCACGAAUGCUAAAUAUGAUGUACAUCCCUUGGUCAAACACUUUCUGGCUUUCAUUAGAGAAAUGAUUCCAGAAUUCACUCUGCGUUUGUCCCCAUACACCAUAAACGAAUCUUUCCCAGGCGGGUUUACUUUAACUAUCUUCUUCUUGCACAAAAUUUCGGCAUCAUUGGCGCUAAGCCAAUCCAUUCCCAAGACGAUGUCGAAACCAUUUAGUUCGAUAGGCAAUAAUUCCUCGAGAAACUUAUUCCCAUUAAGGUCGAUCAAGACGUUUUUCAUACGAUGGCUAACAGGUACAAACUUGCCACUAGCUACUUCGACUAAUAAAGCAUUAUCUAGUCUAUCAACAGGCAAAGCUAGCUUUCUACCAAACUCAUGCGAAAUAAAGGAGUAGUUGGCUCCAGAAUCAAACAAUAUAUGAGCAGGUAAUUCGUUUACGAGAAAGGUACCUGAAGCGACAUCAGCUUCAUCUUUCGCAGCCUCAAGUGUCAUCUGGAAGGCUCUCGCCUUCGGCUUUGGUGGAAUGUUGGGCCUAGCUGCCUCCUUCUUCUUCGGACAGUCUUUCAAAAUAUGCCCCUCUUCAUUACACCCAAAACACAUCCUUUUGUUGUUCGGACAUUCAUUGGCAAAAUGUCCAACCUUUCCACACUUGUAGCAGGUCACAUCCUCGCUACAUUUCCCAAAGUGCUUUUUCUUACACUUAUCACACCACUUUGCUUCGCCUCCUUUUCCUCCAAACUUUUUCGAAUCAGAUUUCGAAAAUUUGCUCUUCUUACUGGAACCAGAUGUUCCUUCAAACUUCCUUUUCUCACCAACCUCAACCUUGACGGUGGUUCUCCCCUUGAUCAUGUUCUCCACAGACUUGGCAGCCCAGAUAGCUGCCUCUAGAGUAAGUGCCUGACGUACCGGCACCUCGUACUCCCAUGGAAGUCCCUUCGCAUACCGAUCCACCUUUGUCAGCUCGUCUGGAACGAUACGCAAGGCAAACUCCAUCUUAUCGGUGAAGUUAUUGGUGUACUCAUCCACUGACAUGCUACCCUUCGUCAAUGUCAAAAACUUGUUCUCCAACUCCAACAGAUUUUGAGCCGAGCAGAACUUGCGCUUGAACUGCACCAAGAACUCUGCCCAUGACAAUUGCAGUGGCUCAUUAGGGCUUAAGGUCUUCCCUAGAGUGUUCCACCAACGAACGGCUCCACCUCGGAAUUGUCGCACGGCAUAGAUAGUCUGCAACUUGCCUCUACAGCCACAUGUCAUAAAGGCUAACUCCAUUUCGGAGAUCCAAUCCAUAACCCCAAUCGGAUCCUCCUUUCCAUUGAAGGUCGAUGGUUUACAAGUCAAAAAGUCCUUGUACUUGCAUCCCAUUCCAUCAUUCCUUCCAUCAUGGUUAUCUUGCCUAACUAUCGGUGGGUUGGCUGGACCAACAGACCCACUGAAGUUUCCACCUUCCGAGUGCCCUUCAUUCAGUUCAGGCUCUUCCACACGAAUCGACAGUUCUUCACGAUUUUGUUGAAGCAACCGUCUAGUUUCAUCCAUCUGACGAUCCAACAUCGUCUGAAUCAUCAAUUGCACACCAGCCAUGGUUAUUGGCUCAGGUGCUGCUGCUACGACAGGUAUUGGCUCAAUCACUGGUGGUUGAUUCCUGUUUUCGUCAGCAUUUCCAACUCCACUUCUUGUUCUCACCAUUUUGAUCUACACCGAAUAAGGUGAAAUUAGAUCCUCAAUCAUGAUAGAUAUUCAAAUCAUCCUUAUCACUCCGAAACGUUUACAUGCUAGUUCUAAUAUCGUAGACGUACGCUUAGAAUCCUACACACAUAAGGUUUCUAGAUCCGGUCGGCAACAGACCAUAGAUCCGAACAAAUAAUAUCAUAUAUGGCAACAUAUAACAUUUAGCACAUAAAGCAUUUUAGGCAACUUUCCUAAAAUAAACUAGUGCUCGUGUCUAAAUCACAACAGACACACAUCUCAAAACUUCACUUAGCAUUCUAAGUUUAAGUCUAGAAAUCCUACAAAUUCCUAGUUCGCUUAAACUAAUGCUCUGAUACCAACUGUGACAUCCCCAAAAUCUCGGCCAGAAAAGACCGAUUUUCAUUUAUGCUUUUAAAUAUUUUCAGAGUAAAUCCUUUUGAUUUGAAAGAGUUGCGGAAUUUGUUCCCAAAAACAAAACAUGAUAAAACAUUGUUUACCGAAGCAUUUCAUAAAAGAAAUGUAUUUUCAUUAUAAUCAAAACUCGGGGUGUCAUGUUCCGAUACAGACCAAUAAGCAUAAACGAAUACAUUACAAGUCAUAUAACAAAUAUAAACAUAUGCAGACUUGUAAACAAAACAACUUGAUGGUUCAUCCAUCUCAUGCCCUUCCGCCACUACCUGUAAUACAAUUUAAAACUGAGUGGGUCAGGCUUGGGAGCCUGGUGAGCAUAUAGGGUUUUCAACCCACAAUAAAUAUCAUAUUUAAUUUUCACCAACCAACAAUAACCCAAUUACCCAUUCCCGUUAUUCUCACUUUAAUGUCCCUAAAACAACUAACAUAAGGGACCUAGUCUAAGAAUAUUUCAUCGGGGCGACAACACAUGCUUCGGGGGUACCUCAGCAAUAUAAGUCAAAUAAGGCAACCAUGAGGGGGAUGGAGUACAGCGAAUGAACACCCAAGUUCAUUAACACCUACAGGUGGCGAACCUGCUAAUGUUUCCACAAGACUGUCUAGAAUAGCCAGUGGUCGUCAUCUAAACUCCGCUAGAUGACUCAAUCAAACAACAACGAGGCCUCUCAUCUGUUUAUUACACACCAACUGUCUACCCAUGUUCUACCCAACAUAUUAGUAGAUAAAAAUAUACAUUUGUAUACAUAGUUUAAAGAAAACCUGUAUAGCAUGCUUUAAUCAACACAUAUAUCACAUAACAGAUGAGGCACACACACACAUAACACAUAUCUCAUAAAGAAAUAAGCAGAUCUAUAAGAUAGAAGAGAGUGAAUACUCAUUCACACAUAACACAACCAAAUAUAUACACAUAGCACGUAUUUUUAUAUAAAAUACUUCGUAUUAUUGUAUUAGAAGAAAUAACUACACACUCACUUGAUCAGAAGAUGAUCGGACAGCACUACGGCUUAUAGAAGUAGUAAUCCACAGCAGAUCUGGAAGAUCUCCUCGAAAAUCGAACUUCUCGCGGGCAGAGCUUCGACUCGGGAACCGCACUUUUCGGGAUCUUCGGGAUCUCGGGACUUGCCUCGGGGCUAGAGUAUGAUACCGGGACUUCGGGGUAGCUUCGGGGGUUUUUGCACAGAGCUUCGACACGAAAACGAGAGGGAAUUGGCAAAAAUACCCGGAACCCUCGCAUCCUAUUUAUAGGAGGCUGGAGCCUCGGAGUACGCGGGGCGUACUGCGUUACGCGGGGCGUACUGCCCAAAACGUCAUUGCUUACGUAUCCGAAGUGCUCGAGUGCGAGUGUCGACAUCCCUCGGAGUACGCUGGGCGUACUCGAGUACGCGGGGCGUACCUCGGAUCAGAUCGGUGACUCCUUCGGAUAAUGCUUCCGAAUUUCCAAUUAAAUUUAAAUACAAAAUAUUAAAUAAACUUCGGAAAUUCAUAUCUUCUUCAUACGAACUCCGUUUUCGACGUUCUUUAUAUCCACGGAAAGGUGAGACCACGCUCUACGACUUUCGUUUAGAUUCCGUCGGCUAAUUUUGAGUUUAUUUUUAUUAAUUAUUUUUAAUAGGCCGGGACAGAAACUUUCGUUAUAAAUUCAUAACUUCUUCGUUUGACGUCCGUUCUCGCCUAACUUUUUAUCGUUUCAAUACCAACAAUGAGAUCUUCGAUUCUCAUUUAGAUUGCUUCGGCUAACAACCGCUCGAUCUCAAAUCGAGUAAAACAGGUUGUAUACCGCUAAGCCGGAACUUCGAUAAAUCAUAACUUCCUCAUACGAAGUCAGAUUUGGGCGUUCUAUAAAUAUUCGGAAACCUCGUUUCAAUUACUACAACAUUAACCAAAUAUAUUAAGUUUAUUUUACACUUAAAUUUUGACGCUUGUUUUUAUUCUUAAUUAAUCAAACCACAUAAUUAAGCAAUUAAGCACAAAACACAUAAUACUCAAAUAAUAAAAUCUCAUUAUUUCAAAACGGGUUACAAAGGUUAACCUAGACUAUUACAUUGCUAAAAGUGGCAAGCCCGGAAACACAGGCGUUACACAACUACACAAAAAGAACACGCACAAAGAUGUAACAUACAUAUUCAACAUGAGUAGAACAAAUCAGACAUAUGGUUGAAGGGACAUUGAUACACUUAGCAACCGGCUUACUUCGAGUAGGUAGUCUAUUGACCAUCACCCCCAAAGGAAAAUAUUAAGAUUCUUAGGAAGCAACCUACACCACCUUGUUAGCCCUAAACCAUCCGGAAGUAAAAGUGUAACGACCCAAUUUUCACGUCCAAAAAUUUCAUUUUUGAUUAAGUGAUUUGCAAAACAUUUGUAACAAAAUAUCAACCGAUCAUAUCAUUUCAUAAAAACAUGUCUC